UGGGGAAUUUUGGACAAUGGGGGAAACCCUGAUCCAGCCAUCCCGCGUGUGCGAUGAAGGCCUUCGGGUUGUAAAGCACUUUUGGCAGGAAAGAAACGUCAUGGGUUAAUACCCCGUGAAACUGACGGUACCUGCAGAAUAAGCACCGGCUAACUACGUGCCAGCAGCCGCGGUAAUACGUAGGGUGCAAGCGUUAAUCGGAAUUACUGGGCGUAAAGCGUGCGCAGGCGGUUCGGAAAGAAAGAUGUGAAAUCCCAGGGCUCAACUUUGGAACUGCAUUUUUAACUGCCGGGCUAGAGUGUGUCAGAGGGGGGUGGAAUUCCGCGUGUAGCAGUGAAAUGCGUAGAUAUGCGGAGGAACACCGAUGGCGAAGGCAGCCUCCUGGGAUAACACUGACGCUCAUGCACGAAAGCGUGGGGAGCAAACAGG
rnacentral:rRNA from 1 species